GACGAACGCUGGCGGCGUGCCUAAUACAUGCAAGUCGAACGCAGGGGGGACGGGUGAGUAACACGUGGGUGACCUCCCAGCAGAGGGGGUAACACUUGGAAACAAGUGCUAAACCGAUACGGGUGGAGGGAGCCGGUGUGGAUUAGCUAGUUGGUGGGGUAACGGCUCACCAAGGCCACGAUGCAUAGCCGGCCUGAGAGGGUGACCAGCCACACUGGGACUGAGACACGGCCCAGACUCCUACGGGAGGCAGCAGUAGGGAAUCUUCGGCAAUGGACGAAAGUCUGACCGAGCAACGCCGCGUGAGUGAAGAAGGCUUUCGGAUCGUAAAACUCUGUUGUCAGAGAAGCGGUAUCUACCCAGAAAGCCACGGCUAACUACGUGCCAGCAGCCGCGGUAAUUC
rnacentral:rRNA from 1 species